AGGAAAAUUGUAAGUUCUUUCUUCUCGUCUGGGCUUAGUCGUGAGCCAAUUUUAGCCGUCUUUUUCGGCUGCUGGGGAUCAAGAAUGACGUCUUCGGCGUCCUCUUCAGGUUUCCAUCCUAUCUUGUCUACUUGGGUGCCAUCUUCUCGAUCCACCUGCUGUAAUUGCUAUUUGGUAGUUUCUUUGUCUUUUCGGACUUCGGUAACCUCUACGGGGGUAAAGGUCUUCUUCUUUGAUUCUUUCAACAUUUGCACAGUGCAUCGUCAGGAUGAAGCCUGGUCAGACUUGAUCUCUCCGACUCCUCCUCCCGGGAUGCGGAAUCGAAUUUUUUGAUACUUGACGGAAGUGACGGCAUCCAGCUUGAUCAACCAAGGUCUCCCAAGAAUCCCAUUGUAGGGAGAUGGGUCACUUACGAUCGUGAAUGUUUGCUUUAAGACGACUGGCGGUGUUUUCACGUCAAGUGUGAUAUGGCCGAUAGCAGUUGAGGUGUGUCCGUUGAAUCCAAUAAGUACCUCGACCCGGCGUAUGAUUAUACUUUCCAGGCCCAUCUUCUGAAUGACCGAAAGUUGAAGUAGGUUGACUGCACUUCCAUUGUCAACCAUCGUCCUGUCGACUAUAGCAUGGGCUAGUUGGACAGAUACUACUAAUGCAUCGUCGUGUGGGAAAUCGACUCCUUCCGCAUCCUACUCCGUGAAGCCAAUAACAAGUCCAGGUUGGGUGUCGACUGCUUGAACUUGUGAGAUUAGUAAAGCCUGCUGGAUCUUCCUCUUUUUGGAGUUAUUAGUGGCCCCCAAGUGCUCAGAUUCGGUGAAAAUGCCAUUGAUUCGAAUCAUCUUAGUUGGUGGCUCCUCAUCUCCGUCUGCAUUCCUUUUUGGCUACACAGCUGGCUUGUCCAAGUAUCUAUCAACUUUGCCUUCUUUCACGAGCUUCUCUAGGUAGUUUUUCCAAGUGUAGCAGUCGUUGGUUGUGUGACCAGGACCUCGGUGGAAUGCGCAAUACUUGGUGUGGUCCAACUUGAAAGUAUCUCCUUUUGACUGUUUCGGCAACUUGAACCAUGGUUCAUUCUUGAUGUCACGAAGGAUUUGAUGAAUCGGAAUUGAGAACUUAGAAUAGUUAUUGGUUAUCGAGUCUUCUUUGAUCGUGGAUUGGUCCCUGCGCUUGACCUCCUGCAUGCCCUUGUUGGGUUGCUUUCCAUCCUCCUUCUUUUAAGCAGCUGCCAAUUCUUUUCGAGGCUGUUCAGGAGCCUUUUCUGCUUGUCGAGCCUCGUCCCAAAGUGCAUGCUUCUCUGCCAGAGCAAAGGAAUCUGCUAGAGUUAGGUCUUCUUUCAUGAUCAUUUCUCCAAACAGUGGGUGGUCUGCUGGGAGUCCUUUUUGGAAGGCUGCACUUGUUAUUGAGUUAUCGCAUCCGACGAUCUUCGCUUUCUCUGCUUUGAAUCUCUUCACGUAAUCGCGAAGUGACUCUUUUGGGUUUUUCUUUGAUCGGACUUUUUCUUGAUCGAACGAUAAGAUGAGUAUUCUUUGGUGAAAACCAAGGAAAUAUCAUCAAAAUUCUGGAUGGAUCGUGUCGGCAAGGUAUGAAACCAAUCUUGUGCCUCGCCUUGUAAGGUAGUGGCGAAUAUUUUGCACAUAAUGGCGUCAUUAUUCCGAUAAAUGACCAUCGCACUUCGGUAAUGCUUCAAGUGUCUUUCGGGAUCCCCGUAUCAUUUGAAAGAUGUGAAAUGCGGCAUGCUAAACUUGCGCAGAGGCUCUGCCUGCUCUAUCUUAUCCGUGAAAGGUGACCUGCUUAUGUUGGUCAUAUCUCGCCUUAGUGCUUCAUCAACCAUUUCGUU
rnacentral:lncRNA from 1 species